rnacentral:rRNA from 1 species
GUCGAGCGAGGCGGGGAGCAAUCCCCAGUCGAGCGGCGAACGGGUGAGUAACGCGUGGAUGACCUACCUCUAGGUGGGGGAUAACCCGGGGAAACUCGGGCUAAUACCGCAUAACAUCGAGAGAUCAAAGGGGGCUCGCAAGAGCUCCCGCCAGGAGAGGGGUCCGCGUACGAUUAGCUAGUUGGUAGGGUAAUGGCCUACCAAGGCGACGAUCGUUAGCCGGCCUGAGAGGGUGAUCGGCCACACUGGAACUGAGACACGGUCCAGACUCCUACGGGAGGCAGCAGUGGGGAAUUUUGCGCAAUGGGCGAAAGCCUGACGCAGCAACGCCGCGUGGAGGAUGAAGGUCUUUGGAUUGUAAACUCCUGUCAGCAGGGACGAAGGCUUCUGACCUAAUACGUCAGAGGAUUGACUGUACCUGCAGAGGAAGCCCCGGCUAACUCUGUGCCAGCAGCCGCGGUAAUACAGAGGGGGCAAGCGUUAUUCGGAAUUAUUGGGCGUAAAGGGCGCGUAGGCGGCUUGGCAAGUGGAAGGUGAAAUCCCUCGGCUCAACUGAGGAACUGCCUUCCAAACUGCUUUGCUUGAGUCCGGGAGAGGUCAGUGGAAUUCCCAGUGUAGCGGUGAAAUGCGUAGAUAUUGGGAGGAACACCAGUGGCGAAGGCGACUGACUGGACCGGUACUGACGCUGAGGCGCGAAAGCGUGGGGAGCAAACGGGAUUAGAUACCCCGGUAGUCCACGCCGUAAACGAUGAGUGCUUGG